rnacentral:lncRNA from 1 species
CUUCCUCGGCCUGUGCCAGGUGGGCAAGGUACGGGGGGAGCUUCCAAGGCUUCUAUCCCAACUCUACCUAUUUCUACCUAUUUUCUCUUGAGUUAUUUUGUCUUUAUCUGUUUUAUUUGCAAAAAUAGUAUACGCAAAAUACAUCAAGUGAAUGCACAUCAGGCAUAUAGAAGAUCUGGCAGAAACACGUUUUCUCAUGCCCAUUUCCACUCAGUAUUUGAACACAGAGGCUUCCACGGUUUUGAUUCUUUCC